CUACGUGCCAGCAGCCGCGGUAAUACGUAGGUCCCGAGCGUUGUCCGGAUUUAUUGGGCGUAAAGCGAGCGCAGGCGGUUAGAUAAGUCUGAAGUUAAAGGCUGUGGCUUAACCAUAGUACGCUUUGGAAACUGUUUAACUUGAGUGCAAGAGGGGAGAGUGGAAUUCCAUGUGUAGCGGUGAAAUGCGUAGAUAUAUGGAGGAACACCGGUGGCGAAAGCGGCUCUCUGGCUUGUAACUGACGCUGAGGCUCGAAAGCGUGGGGAGCAAACAGGAUUAGAUACCCUGGUAGUCCACGCCGUAAACGAUGAGUGCUAGGUGUUAGACCCUUUCCGGGGUUUGGUGCCGUAGCUAACGCAUUAAGCACUCCGCCUGGGGAGUACGACCGCAAGGUUGAAACUCAAAGGAAUUGACGGGGGCCCGCACAAGCGGAGGAACAUGUGGUUUAAUUCGAUGAUACGCGAGGAACCUUACCCGGGCU
rnacentral:rRNA from 1 species